rnacentral:tRNA from 1 species
GAGGGUGUAGCUCAGUGGUAGAGUGUGUGCUUAGCAUGCAUGUGGUCCUGAGUUCAAUCCCCAGGACCUCUG